CAGCAGCCACGGGAAUACAGAGGGUGCGAGCGUUAAUCGGAUUUACUGGGCGUAAAGCGUGCGCAGGCGGUUAUAUAAGACAGAUGUGAAAUCCCCGGGCUCAACCUGGGAACUGCAUUUGUGACUGUAUAGCUAGAGUACGGCAGAGGGGGAUGGAAUUCCGCGUGUAGCAGUGAAAUGCGUAGAUAUGCGGAGGAACACCGAUGGCGAAGGCAAUCCCCUGGGCCUGUACUGACGCUCAUGCACGAAAGCGUGGGGAGCAAACAGGAUUAGAUACCCCUGUAGUCCCUGUCUCUUAUAC
rnacentral:rRNA from 1 species